rnacentral:rRNA from 1 species
UACGGAGGGUGCAAGCGUUAUCCGGAUUUACUGGGUUUAAAGGGUGCGUAGGUGGGUCUGUAAGUCAGUGGUGAAAUCUCCGAGCUUAACUCGGAAACUGCCAUUGAUACUAUAGGUCUUGAAUUAUCUGGAGGUAAGCGGAAUAUGUCAUGUAGCGGUGAAAUGCUUAGAUAUGACAUAGAACACCAAUUGCGAAGGCAGCUUACUACGGAUUGAUUGACACUGAGGCACGAAAGCGUGGGGAGCAAACAGG